AAUCAAUACUCAGCACCUUUGAAAAUCAAAACAUAACGAAUUACAUAUUGCACCACUGCAGAGUUCUUUGCCUUACACUUUUAACCAUAUACAAACACAUUUAUAGUUUAUACUCAAAUAUACUAGCAAAGAUAAAGUGACAACAGUGAGUUUACGUUUAGUGUUUAAAAAAAAAAAAUCAAAUUGCCAGUCCCUCAGUAGACUUUCAUCAUUUUAUUAUUUAAAUGGAUUUUUCUUUAAUUUAGACAUAGAUUUUCUUCUGUAACACUGCAUCAUUUUGAUACUGCCUGAGACUGAGAGAACAAAACUGAGGAGAGAAAAGAGUAAAACUACCUAAUCUGGUUUUACAAGACAAGCUAAGUGAAAUGUAAAAGUCACUCCCUCUGAAGCAGAGAUUCUGUGGUGUGGAUAUGUGACAUAUAGUAUGUACAGAACUGGACUGGUGACAGUGCAGAGGUAAGCCUACCUUCAUCCAUCACUUUCGAUAACAGGGCCUAACUAGAUCUACAGGCAUCCAUAUGGUCAUGUCCUGUUGAUCUCAAGAGAUUCCCCAGUUUCACUCCAGUAUCAUCAUCCUCCUUUAGUGGUCCCUCUGUGAGAACAAGGCUGUUAAGAGCAGAAAAUUGUAUAAAAAGCAGAAUAUGCACAAUAAAGUCUCCAGAAACAUAGGAAACUGUCUGGUGAAACAAGAGGAAAGAGAUGAGCCUAAGAUCUGAUGUAGAAAAAAUAAAGGAUAUUACAAAAACACAGUGUUAGAUGACAAAACAGGGAGGCGAGGAGUUUAACACAUUUUGAAAUAUACAAUAUAUUGUUCACAUGAAAAAUCUCCCUAGGGUUUAUGGCAAUGCCAAUGGUUGGAUUGUUCUGUACUGUUAUGCUGUCGGCACUGAGAAAGCAAAGGGUCUAUGUCAUAUAUAAUAAUUGGUCUCUGACCACACCUAGUCCAUUAGUAUUGUGCAGGCUGUAAAUACAACCUCAUUACUUCUGACUCUUCAGAUUAGCAGACGAGAAGGGGAUCAAACUACAGCACCAACCUUUUAGAAGCCAGAAAUUCAAGAGAAAGCUGCAGAACAAAAGCAGAUAAAACCAGAAACUUUAGGAAGUAAAUACAGUCAUCUAGCCCACGUGGUAGGAUGGAAUUCAGUUUGCUCCGACUGGAGGUAUACCAUUUGGAAGAAAAAUAAUCCUUUUUGAUCAGGAGACUUUAGUGGGGAGCAGAGUGUGAGACAACCACAGAAAUCCCAUCUGGCUUGUGGUGCUUGGACGAACCAUGCAGGAGUCCUUCGCUGUCCACUUCCUGAAAGUGCUGAAGGAGCUCCUGGCCUUCGUGCUGUUCAGUUACACGGUGCUGAUUGGGGCACUGCUCCUGGCUGGCUGGACAACUUAUUUUUUGGUGCUUAAGUGACAGUUCCCCUCUAUCUUCUCUGGCCACAGACUAGUCCAGAAUGUGCAACAGUCACCACCAAGUUCCCUGCAGCUGGCGUCUGCUCAACAAAUAGUAUGUCAGUUCCUUUUGGCUCCACAAACUUUGCAAGUCUUUGUUUUAUUAUUGGCUAAAUACAAUCUUAGUUUCUUAUGUAAAACAAAAAAAUUAUUAAAAAACACCUUGCUGACCCCCAGUGGCUCUUCCAGACUCAAUCUUUGGGAUCAACUCUGCCCCAUCCCUGAAGGAUCAGAAAGAUUACUGGCAAUUUUGUCUUCUGAUCAAUCUGCUCCUCUCUGACAUCACUCCUGAGAAUAGCAGCUUGUUGAGGGUGGCGAUGAAAGGGAGGGAGAAAGCCCAGAAGUGGUACAGAACCAUUAGAGUGUGAGCUGGCCUCUGAGCAAUCAAGUCCAGACACGUCUGCUUCAAUCAGCCUUGUUAUGGAGAUGAAGGCAGAGAGAUGCUUAACUUUUUAUUUCUGAUCCUCUUAUACAGUCCUGGACGUGCUUCCCUCAAAUCAGCAUAACCCACGUGUCUCCUCUCUUUUUGUUUCAACAUUUUUAUCUGAUGGUGUCCAGUUUGGGGUUAAGUUUCCCAGCCUUUCCCACCAGACCGUGAUAUUAGCAUAUUUGGAAGAGUUGAAACCAGCAAGGCAAGAGUUUUACUGGAACCAUGCUGUAUAAGAAAGCACUAAAAAUAUCCUGUGCAACUAACCUGUUCCCAGGAGAGAGGGAAUAAAAUGACCUGCUAGGAUUUUCUGUAAUUUCUAUAAAAGCAGCAAAGAAUCCUGUGGCACCUUAUAGACUAACAGAUGUUUUGGAGC